CCCUUAGAUGUCCUGGGCCGCACGCGCGUUACACUGAUGCAUUCAACGAGCUUAUAACCUUGGCCGAGAGGCCUGGGCAAUCUUGUUAACGUGCAUCGUGAUAGGGAUAGAUUAUUGAAAUUAUUAAUCUUGAACGAGGAAUUCCUAGUAAACGCAGAUCAUCAAUCUGCAUUGAUUACGUCCCUGCCCUUUGUACACACCGCCCGUCGCUCCUACCGAUUGAAUGGUCCGGUGAAAAUUUCGGAUACCGGCAUUGCUGGCGGUUCGCCGCCGGCGACGCUGGUAGAAGAUCUUUAAACCUUAUCAUUUAGAGGAAGGAGAAGUCGUAACA
rnacentral:rRNA from 1 species